rnacentral:rRNA from 1 species
AGCGAACGCUGGCGGCAGGCCUAACACAUGCAAGUCGAACGGCUCUUCGGAGCAGUGGCGGACGGGUGAGUAACGCGUGGGAACGUGCCCUUUGGUUCGGUACAACACAGGGAAACUUGUGCUAAUACCGGAUGUGCCCUUCGGGGGAAAGAUUUAUCGCCAUUGGAGCGGCCCGCGUUGGAUUAGGUAGUUGGUGGGGUAAAGGCCCACCAAGCCUACGAUCCAUAGCUGGUCUGAGAGGAUGAUCAGUCACACUGGGACUGAGACACGGCCCAGACUCCUACGGGAGGCAGCAGUGGGGAAUCUUGCGCAAUGGGCGAAAGCCUGACGCAGCCAUGCCGCGUGAAUGAUGAAGGUCUUAGGAUUGUAAAAUUCUUUCACCGGGGAAGAUAAUGACGGUACCCGGAGAAGAAGCCCCGGCUAACUUCGUGCCAGCAGCCGCCGUAA